rnacentral:rRNA from 1 species
UCUUGGUCAUUUAGAGGAAGUAAAAGUCGUAACAAGGUUUCCGUAGGUGAACCUGCGGAAGGAUCAUUAUUGAAAUAAACCUGACGGGUUGUUGCUGGUUCUCUAGGGAGCAUGUGCACACUUGUCAUCUUUAUAUCUCCACCUGUGCACCUUGUGUAGACCUUACAGGUCUAUGUUGCCUAUUCAUUUACACCAAUGUAUGUUAAUAGAAUGUUGUGACUAUAAAAUCUAUACAACUUUCAGCAACGGAUCUCUUGGCUCUCGCAUCGAUGAAGAACGCAGCGAAAUGCGAUAAGUAAUGUGAAUUGCAGAAUUCAGUGAAUCAUCGAAUCUUUGAACGCACCUUGCGCUCCUUGGUAUUCCGAGGAGCAUGCCUGUUUGAGUGUCAUUAAUAUAUAUAUCAACCCCCUCUUUUGUUGGAGUGGUUUGGAUGUGAGGGUUUGCUGGAUUCCUUAAGAGAAUUCAGCUCCCUUGAAAUGCAUUAGCAGAAUAACCUGCUCAUUAGUGUGAUAACUAUCUACACUAUUGAAUGCAAGGGCCAGUUCAGCUUUCUAACAGUCCUUGGACAAUUUAUCAUUUAUGUGACCUCAAAUCAGGUAGGACUACCCGCUGAACUUAAGCAUAUCAAUAAGCGGAGGA